rnacentral:rRNA from 1 species
UACGUAGGGUCCGAGCGUUGUCCGGAAUUAUUGGGCGUAAAGGGCUCGUAGGCGGUCUGUCGCGUCGGGAGUGAAAACUUACAGCUUAACUGUGAGCGUGCUUCCGAUACGGGGCAGACUUGAGGUAUUCAGGGGAGAACGGAAUUCCUGGUGUAGCGGUGAAAUGCGCAGAUAUCAGGAGGAACACCGGUGGCGAAGGCGGUUCUCUGGGAAUAUCCUGACGCUGAGGAGCGAAAGUGUGGGGAGCGAACAGG